AGUUAAAUUUUUUUUCAAAUUGUACUGUUAAAACUAACAUAAUUGACGAAAUAAUCAAACAACGACAUAUGACGUGCCACGUGUACCUCAUGCAGAUGUGCAAAUAACAAUUAUUAACAGUAAAAAUGGAAUGAAUUUUUAAUA
rnacentral:pre_miRNA from 1 species